rnacentral:lncRNA from 1 species
GGAAUUGAUACGAGUUGAAGAUAUGGAUAAAAGCUAUCAAUCUAACCACCUGCGGUCAAGAACUUUGCCGUAGGGGGGUGGCAGUAAAGCCACUGCUGCCACCACCCGUAAUGGACAAAAAUGAAAAAUUUGGUAUGGGUUUGUCAGCUUCUGGUGCACUUUCCCACCCGGGCAUUUUCAUGAAUAAAAGGGUCUGGGACAAGCUUUCAAUCCCACUAGGUGUGGGUAAAAACUUUGCCGUAGGGAACUGUACAGAAAGAGUGAAAAAAAUGAGCCCAUACCCAUUACUGUAUAGGUACCUCAGACUUUGGAUGGACAGUGAAGUCUUCAGGUGCACUUUCCCACCCUGGAAUUGAUACGAGUUGAAGAUAUGGAUAAAAGCUAUCAAUCUAACCACCUGCGGUCAAGAACUUUGCCGUAGGGGGAUGGCAGUAAAGCCACUGCUGCCACACCCGUAAUGGACAAAAAUGAGAAAUUUGGUAUGGGUUGUCAGCUUCUGGUGCACUUUCCCACCCGGGCAUUUUCAUGAAUAAAAGGGUCUGGGACAAGCUUUCAAUCCCACUAGGUGUGGGUAAAAAACUUUGCCGUAGGGAACUGUACAGAAAGAGUGAAAAAAUGAGCCCAUACCCAUUAACUGUAUAGGUACCUCAGACUUUGGAUGGACAGUGAAGUCUUCAGGUGCACUUUCCCACCCUGGAAUUGAUACGAGUUGAAGAUAUGGAUAAAAGCUAUCAAUCUAACCACCUGCGGUCAAGAACUUUGCCGUAGGGGGUGGCAGUAAAGCCACUGCUGCCACCACCCGUAAUGGACAAAAAUGAGAAAUUGGUAUGGGGUUGUCAGCUUCUGGUGCACUUUCCCACCCGGGCAUUUUCAUGAAUAAAAGGGUCUGGGACAAGCUUUCAAUCCCACUAGGUGUGGGUAAAAAACUUUGCCGUAGGGAACUGUACAGAAAGAGUGAAAAAUGAGCCCAUACCCAUUACUGUAUAGGUACCUCAGACUUUGGAUGGACAGUGAAGUCUUCAGGUGCACUUUCCCACCCUGGAAUUGAUACGAGUUGAAGAUAUGGAUAAAAGCUAUUCAAUCUAACCACCUGCGGUCAAGAACUUUGCCGUAGGGGGAUGGCAGUAAAGCGACUGCUGCCACCACCCGUAAUGGACAAAAAUGAGAAAUUGGUAUGGGUUUGUCAGCUUCUGGUGCACUUUCCCACCCGGGCAUUUUCAUGAAUAAAAGGGUCUGGGACAAGCUUUCAAUCCCACUAGGUGUGGGUAAAAACUUUGCCGUAGGGAACUGUACAGAAAGAGUGAAAAAAUGAGCCCAUACCCAUUACUGUAUAGGUACCUCAGACUUUGGAUGGACAGUGAAGUCUUCAGGUGCACUUUCCCACCCUGGAAUUGAUACGAGUUGAAGAUAUGGAUAAAGCUAUUCAAUCUAACCACCUGCGGUCAAGAACUUUGCCGUAGGGGGGUGGCAGUAAAGCCACUGCUGCCACCACUCGUAAUGGCUAAAAAUGAGAAAUUGAGUAUGGGUUGUCAGCUUCUGGUGCACUUUCCCACCCGGGCAUUUUCAUGAAUAAAAGGGUCUGGGACAAGCUUUCAAUCCCACUAGGUGUGGGUAAAAACUUUGCCGUAGGGAACUGUACAGAAAGAGUGAAAAAAAUGA